rnacentral:rRNA from 1 species
GACGAACGCUGGCGGCGUGCUUAACACAUGCAAGUCGAACGGAAAGGCCCUGCUUUUGUGGGGUGCUCGAGUGGCGAACGGGUGAGUAACACGUGAGUAACCUGCCCUUGACUUUGGGAUAACUUCAGGAAACUGGGGCUAAUACCGGAUAGGAGCUCCUGCUGCAUGGUGGGGGUUGGAAAGUUUCGGCGGUUGGGGAUGGACUCGCGGCUUAUCAGCUUGUUGGUGGGGUAGUGGCUUACCAAGGCUUUGACGGGUAGCCGGCCUGAGAGGGUGACCGGCCACAUUGGGACUGAGAUACGGCCCAGACUCCUACAGGAGGCAGCAGUGGGGAAUAUUGCACAAUGGGCGGGAGCCUGAUGCAGCAACGCCGCGUGCGGGAUGACGGCCUUCGGGUUGUAAACCGCUUUCGCCUGUGACGAAGCGGGAGUGACGGUAAUGGGUAAAGAAGCACCGGCUAACUACGUG